CAGCCUCUAGGAAAUCAUCUACUAUGGGAAGUCUUAUGCAAAUCCACUUGCCAAAUUGAGAUCACCUGACCAGCAAAAUCUCCAUGUGUCUUCUUAGGACAUCUAGCCUUACAGAGGCCAGAAUGCCCUCUAGACUAAGCCAAGAACUCACACAGCUCAGUGUCACAUGCUUACUGUAAACUGUAGAAUCUACUUGUCUACCUGCUUCCAGUCUUCAAGCUCUAGAGCCCAAACCACAGCCUGCUCUGGAGCCAGAGCCAAAGCAAUGCUUCCAUCUAAAGCCGGAGCCCCACACAGGUAUGAAACAGUUGUCAGAAAUAGCAGUGACACAAAGUGACUGCCCAUCCCAGAGGAAACUCUCAGCAGUAAAACAACCUCAGAGCUAAGCCCACCACCCACCGAAGAAAGGAUACAGGUUCUUUGGAGCAAGUCCCAUCUCUGUUGUCUGGAAAUCAGCAGUUCAGUUCACAGAUUAGCAGCGGCUGCUCAAUCCACUCGCAAACACUUUACGGAUAUACUAGCAGUCCAGUUUGGUUAGAGCCAGAAUAGCAAACAUAAAUCAGAAGUGGUGGCAUGACCUAGCAGGGAUAGGCAGGCCUUGGCAGGAGGGACCAAGAGGGACAGCAGGAGAAGUUCUCAGCUGUGCCUCUCUUGAGUGAAGAUCAGUGAAGACUCGAGACCCACAAGUUUUGCAUAGCCAGCUAUAUAGCAAGCCAAGCUCUGUUUCAGUAGCUGUCCGGCAAGUCCUAUUUAUACUCUCCAAACAUCAUUUGUCCUCCAUGGGACUUGCCUCAGCACAUGCAUCUAUCUCAGCUGACAUCACUCUGCCAAUCAGCCUGAGUCCGAGGAAGCAGCAAGAAACUGCAGCACACCCCCAGAAGUUUUUUGGUCCAUUUCUGUCUACGACACCUUGACAAGUGCAUCUCAGCUACACAAUACAUUAUACUAUAUACCAGUAUCUCCAUUUGAAUGUCCUGGACCCAAGAAAAGAACUGGAACAUUUUGCUCCGUGUACAGCAACUUCAAAGUUGCUCUAUCCUGCCCACAGUCUGCACUGCUGGAGCUUCAGCUGAAUGUGAGUUGCUGAGCCGUCCAGAUUGAUCUGAAACAAUAUGUCCAUCCAGCAGCAUCUAGGCUACAUCAUCAGCAUCACUGUCCACACACAGGGAUGGCAGGUAGAAAUCAUAACUAGCUCCCCAUGUUAAUAUUCCUCUGAAAAUGGAUAUUCUGGGUGACCAGCAAGACUAAAUAGGAAACAAAGACAAACAUGAGCCCCAUGGUCUGUAUCUGCAAUGUAACAAUGUGACACCUAGACAGCCGCAAUCAAGGUGAGAGCUAAUCAUUUCAUUCUCUGAUUAGGUGUAGAAUAAGAGAGUCUCAAGUCAUUUGCAAUGUUCCAUCAAAAAUUUUAAAUAUUUUCUAUAUCUAUAUCUAUAUCUAUUUAUCUAUUCUUAAGUUAUGUCCCUUCACCUAGAACAGAAAACACAAAGACCAGUGUUCAUAAAUAUUCAUCUCCCUUAGUUUCCUUUCUGUAUCAAUCAAAGAAAGAAUUCCCAAAAUAUUUUUCAUCUUUAGAGGGAAAAGCAUUAUGUUAUCUUUAGUGCAAUACAAAAACAUCAUAACACAUACAUUGAAGCCUACCACUUCCACUUCCAUUUAACUCUCAAUAAUCCAUGAAUGAUUCACUCACGUCUAUCAUCUACAAUGUAUUGUAUUAGACUGAGUUAGAAAAAGAAUGUGUGUAAAAACAAUGGGCUCACAAGUCCAAGGAACUAUCAGCAAAAUGGGUAAACUGCUAUAUAUGACUAACAAUCCAAAAUAUGCAGUGAUAAAUAUUAUUAACUUGUAAAAUUUGAGAACACACACUCAUUAUGUAUAACAUUGAUUCAAUCACUGAGUUACAAUUUCCCUGUGCCUUUAUUGUUCUCUAUAGUCACAAAUACAUUAAUAAUGAUAAUUAACAUAUAACCCAUUUUAUAGUGUAGAUAUUCAAAUCCUCCUUCAAGCAUUAUCAUAUUUAUUUCUACUGAGAACAAAAACUUCUCACCAGCAGAAGAUAGGUAGAAUGUAGAUAGAUAGAUAAGUAGAUAAACAAUGCUCGAUAGAUUAUAGAUGACAGGUUGAGAUAAAUAUGCACAUAUAUGUACAUAUAUGCACAUAUAUGUACACAUAUGUACAUAUAUGUGCAUUCUAUGUUUGUCAUCAUUAUUAAUCUAUGAUUCAGGAUACUUGAUCAAACUAUGAAACUCAUGAUUUUGUCGUUUACUGGAAAAAACAUUUUCUAGUUCUGAUGAGGCUCAGCUCUAGCACUCCAUUAAUCCAAGUGCCUUCUGCUUACUGUAAAGAGAAUUAAAUAAAGCCAACCAUAGGUCAGAAGGCUGAGCAAGCAACUAGCUGAAAGGAAGUGAACAUAGAAAAAAAACAUAUAGAGCAAGAGGAAAUCAAGAGGAUAGAUAGAGAGAUACACAGGAAGUGGAAGUGAAAGGACAUUCAGUUUGAAGGACUUUUUGAGAUAGCAUCAAGGAAAGCUUCCUUUUGAGGCAUCAGCUGAAGAGGAAGGUCAGCUGGAUGCUUGUUCUGCUUCUCUGAGCUUGUAGGAUUUCACCCCAGCAUAUAGCUCCCAAGUCUUCAUUGGUAAAUUGAAAGAUGGAGAUUUUGUUAAAAAAACAAUAUUUGGUGGCCCAAAUGGGGAUUGAACCCUGAACUCUCAGAUUGUCUCCCUGUCAACUGGUUAUUUGCUCUGCCACUUGACCUAUGGUUGACUUUAUUUAAUUCUGUUUACAGUGAGCAGAAAGCUCUCGGAUUAAAGGUGGGUGAUUUCCAGUAAACAACACAAUCUUGGGGGUCACAGCAUGAUCCAGUACCCUGCAACAAGCCUGCAGCCUGUAUCAAAUCUUGUUAAGAUCUUCGUGUGGCUAUUUAAGUUCUUAAACCUUUACUGGAAGGUUCUCUUCUUACUUUUGAAUACGACUUUCAAAACCUUCUCUGUGCUUUGUGCUGUCAUGUCUGCAUUUCAGAAACCCAGAAACAAAUAUUUUAUUAACUAUCUCCAUGGGAAAUGUGCUGACAAAUAGGGCAUUUAGUUUCUGAACCCGCAUGAAUGGAAGAGGGAAGAAACUACUUGAAGUGAAACACAUUGAGCUGAGGUGUUCCUCAACAUUACUUACAACUCUGCUGAAAGAUAUCGAAAAUUUUUGUUCAGGCCAUCUAGUGUUUUCAUGUCCUCAGGAGACAACUGAAAGUCAAAAACCUGCCAGAAAAGUACAAAUAUUUUUGCAUUUGAAUGACUCACAUAUUAUGAAUCAAGGGCAAUGGAAGUAGUACAUUCCUAAAAAUGAAGAACAUUGUUUACCAAAACAUUCAUGGUUAGUCAAUACCAAGUAAAUUAAAGAAAUUGCUUUUGAGAGAUAUUAAAUUUGCAUAACACCACAGACGAGAUAAUCUCAAGAGUAGCUUGGAAAGAAAAGUAGAUCACUAAAAAGACUAUUAUACAUAGUUUCCAACAUAUUUAGAGCAAAUUUUUGAAAUACCUCAUACAAAUCAGUGUCUUCAAUGGGGAGUUAGAUUUCUGAAAUUCAUCAAUAAAUAAUUAAAAUCUAAACAAUGCUUUUUCAAUAUUGUGCAAGUUAAGACUUAUCCAAAUGAAUGAAUGAGCAGGCUUUUAAAAAUAUUAUUGUUGAUAUUACAGCAUAAACCAUUGUUGUUCUGUUCAGGAAAUAUACCCCCACCCUGCCAAUGUGUUUUAGGAUCUUUCCCAAGUUUUCCUCUAUUAGAUUCAUUGUAUCUGGAUCUAUGUGGCGGUCCUUGAAUCGCAUGAACUUGAGCUUUGUACAAGGAGAUGAGAAUGGAUAGAUUUGCAUUCUACUACAUGUGGACCACCAGUUGAUCCAGCACCAUUUGUUGUAAAUGCUGACUUUUUUCCAUUAGAUGUUUUUGGCUCCUUUGUCAAAGAUCAAGUGACCAAAGGUAUUUGGGUUCAUUUCUUGACCUUCAAAUCUAUUCCAUUGAUCUGCCUGCCUGUGGCUAUAAUAAUACUGUGCAGUUUUUAAUCACUCUUGCUCUGUAACAUAGCUUAAGGUCGGAGAUGGUGCUUCCCACAGAGGUUCGUUUAUUAUUGAGAAUGGUUUUUGCUAUCCUGUUUUUUUUUUGUUAUCCUAGAUACAUUUGAGAGUUAUGGCUCCAACUGGAUAUGCAAUAGAGGAUUGCCUAUUGGGAAUCACUUGGAGGGGAGCAUUCUUGAGAACAGUUUAUGGGAGAAGUGGUCACCUGUUUCAAGCUCCUGACACCUUGACUUCCUGGCUUUAUGGUCUGUGCCCUUCAAUUGUGAACCAUAAGUCCUUUCUCCCGAGAAGUUCACUUUCCCCACGCUCGACUUCUGCCUGAUGGACCAACACUAGAUCUCCACAUCAGUUGGGCAUCAUUAAAAAGAAAAGGCUCCAUGUUUCCUGGGAAAUCCGGUCAUUGCAGAGCAUUUAAGUACAGCAAGAAUUUAUAUCACUCCCGACCCAGGAUUAGUAAUAAACAUGAAUACAUAUGUGUUGAGAGACAGGCAUGUGAGCCAAGGAUGGCCAAUUGGGACCUUACACAGGAUAGAUUUCUGUAAGAGCAGAUGCCAAAAAGCUACAAAGUGUUAAUGACCUUGAAGCUGAAACCGUCUUGAAUCCACUUUCAUCACCAAGAAGGGAGACAAGAACAGGACCUAUGAAAACAUCUAGUAAUGCAAAUGCAAAAGAUGUGUAAUACAAGUUUUCCUGGAAGUUACUUCUAAUCUGUGAUUCUGGACAUUGCUUGUGCACCUCAUUUCAUUAUCCAAUAUAGACUGCGGAACUUACUGUAUAGUUUAGUAGCCCAUAAGUUAACUUUGUAUAAAAUUAUAAAAGAAAUUUAUCUCAAUCAUUCAUAAAGAUGAUAUUCCUGUCCUUCUGAAAAGAUGUGUACAUUUGACAAUUGCAAUCACCUACCUUCAUUGGCACUGGGUAAUGCAUAAUGUAAAGAUCGGCAUAAUCCAGUUGAAGAUUUUUCAGUGAUUUUUCCAAAGCAGGCUUGACCAGCUCUGGUCGAAAGCAAGUACACCAAAGCUACAGAUGUGGAAGAAUGGAAGUUGUACUAGAUUAAUAAAUCACCUGAAUAUGCAUAGUCAUUUAUCCUGAUGCUGAAAUAUUUUCUGUAUUUGAAUGAAAUUUAUAAGCAUUCCUGUAAACUCAGUGUUGACUCUUCCAUAGCAAUGAGAACUCAGCUACAAUUUUAGGGUUAAUGUUUGUUCAUUUAUUAAACAAUGUAAAAAUUACUUAAGAAAUAAAAUCCAUACUAAUAAAA